rnacentral:rRNA from 1 species
AUUGAACGCUGGCGGCAUGCUUUACACAUGCAAGUCGAACGGUAACAGGGUGCUUGCACCGCUGACGAGUGGCGAACGGGUGAGUAAUGCGUCGGAACGUGCCGAGGAGUGGGGGAUAACGCAGCGAAAGUUGUGCUAAUACCGCAUACGUACUGAGGUAGAAAGUGGGGGACCUUCGGGCCUCACGGUAUUCGAGCGGUCGACGUCUGGUUAGUUAGUAGGUGAGGUAAAGGCCCACCUAGGCGACGAUCAGUAGCGGGGCUGGGAGGAUGAUCCGCCACACUGGGACUGAGACACGGCCCAGACUCCUACGGGAGGCAGCAGUGGGGAAUUUUGGACAAUGGGCGAAAGCCUGAUCCAGCCAUGCCGCGUGUCUGAAGAAGGCCUUCGGGUUGUAAAGGACUUUCGUCAGGGAGGAAAUCCCUAGUGCUAAUAACACUGGGGGAUGACAGUACUUGAAGAAUAAGCACCGGCUAACUACGUGCCAGCCGCCGCAGUAA